GAGUUGGGGGAGAGGACCAGAACCACCUGCUGGAGAAGGGGAGCUACGGGGGCCGGGCAGGGUCCAAACGCCUCACGUAGGCGGCGGCGCCACGGUCUUCGGGGUCACAGGGAAGAGAAGGGCUCUCCUCAAGCGGGUGGAAGGAGGGAGGCCUCCCGAGGGAGUGAGACUCUAGGCCACUCCCCCGCAGCAAGGCAGGAUCACCUGCGACGCGGAGAGCGGUUAGAGGGCCCUGGAGUGGAAAAGGGCAGUGGGACCUGGUAGCUUGGGUUCCCUGCAACUUGGGGUUCGACCUCCAGGCAAUGAAGUAGGGAUGGUCCUGCAAGUCAAGAUUCCAGUAGCAAGAGUGCAUCAGAUCUCUGUAAGGAAAAUAACUAACAUUGCUCAGUUCCCUGUAGAGUUGCAGGGCGCUUUAACGUUAUCUCCCUUGGUUCUCCAUCAGGUCGUAGUGGACUAAUUUUACAGGCGAAGUUAAGUGACUUACCCAAAACCUCACAGCUAAUAAACGGCAGAGCCGGCACCCAGCUGUACUGGCUUCCAAUUCUGUUAGCUUACCAGCGCAUCACAUUAUCUCCAUAAAUCCCCAUGAUUCAACUAAUAUUAGACGCCCCACAGGGCUGGAAGGAGUGUUGCUCAACAAUAUCCAAAACCACAGAGGUUGAAAAGCACAAGGAAAGAAGCUGGACCCUGGACACGGUGACUCUGAUUCAAUUAUGCAGAUGACCACAAACCUCUGGGGUUGGCAGAGCCACAAGAAAGAAGGUGCCUGGAUGAAGGAGAGCUACCCACUGACCUGGACACCCAAUUAUAGGAUAGACAGUGAAGUGCAACUACAGCCCGCAAAUGAAAAUGAAUAAUAUUAAUCCAGCCCCUCAAGGCAGUCAUCUGUCUUAGAGCUAUUGGAAUCCUGGAUCAUUGUGGGAAAUGAAAGGAACUGGUUUUUAGCAAGGAGACCAAGAAACUCUACUCCCUAGGGGCUAGCAAUGAGAGAAAGGAAGCCUUAAGUCUUUGAGCACAGGGUGACAGUUUGGGUCCUAUGUGAGAUGAUCAAAUCCACAGCAACAGAGGAAAGGACAAAAGGAAAAGGUCUGUAGCAGCACUACAUCAGAAAAAAAUGGAUUCAGCAAGGAAGUGGGUGACUCUGAGUAAGCAUCCAUGUCAGGAUGGUUUUGCUACAGCCCCCAACAAAACAUUAAUUAGUUUAAGAAACUCAACUUCGGUUUACAAGUGUUUUGGAAAAGUAACAAAGAACAACAUAAGUAACAAAAUAAUUCCUCAGGUCAUUACAAUGGAUGUUUCCUAUAACUGAAAAAUAUGGUUAAAAAGUACAAACUACAUUUGGUGUGCAAACUGUUUAGUUCUUAAUUCCAAACUAAAUUGUACAUUAUAUAGUAAAAUUUUGACCAGAAAAACUUGGAGAUUUUAGUAAAAAUUUCAUUGACAUAUUUACAGCCCCAGUGUAGUUUGGCCGGUGUGCAAAGCCUGACUAAGGAGGUUAUAGAAAAAAAUAUCAGACUUAAGCCCAUCAAAUCAUUAAAGAUGCUUUGGCAAGACUUCAAGCUUUACAGACAUACUCCAUGUGACCAGAGAUGUCAUAACCAGUGUUCUUUCUCUUGAAAUGUUAGAAUGCUUUAGUUUUAUUCUAUAAUUUCCGUGUUCCAUGGAACAGCAUUCAUUUCUCCCAGUUUUAGUAACAUAAUGAGAGAUAUAUUGAGUGUAUAGAGCAGGAAAGACAUGAAAACUUAUAUUGCAUAAUAUUAGCAAACAUAAAAGAUAGCAUUAUAAAUUUUUAAAAAUCCAAAAAAAUUCCAGAAACAGAACAGUGAGCAUGUUUAAAAAGUCAGGACUGACCGUUUCUGUGAGUUCUGAGGACUGUAAAUGAGCCUCAAUCCAUAAAGCUGAGAGGUUGUCUUAGCCCACAUAUGCAGCAGGUGACUCCCUCUGACAAAAGCAAGAUUUAGCUGGAUCUUUUAAAAAAAAAA
rnacentral:lncRNA from 1 species